UCUUCGGCAACCCUAUUUUUUUUCUUCAUCUUCUUCUCCUUCAUCUUAACAGUUUCAAUAUUUCUCUGCAAACCAACAAAAACAGAGACCCAUGGCAACAUCGCACCAGAUCCAUCGAUUUCACCAUCGAACAUCCUGUUUUACCCCUUCUCUGUAAACGGGUUAGGUUUUGCACUGUUUUCUUCGAUAGCUCAGGUGUUAUUCUGUCGUGUUGAUCCAUCUCCCUCACCUGUAACUGAAGAACACAGGUUUUUAAGCGUGGCAUCAAGUUAUCUUCCUCAAUAAUUAAUCAGCCUUUGGGUUCUUCUUGGCACGAAAGCGGAGCAGUGGAUUUCAAGUAGCAUCCAAUCAUCGGCCAUGUACAAAAGAAACUGCCACAUUAGAGAACUGACCUUGAUGGAACUCAGUACAAUCUCUUACUGUUAGACAGUGAAGGAAUAGAUGCCUAUGAU